GUAAUAAGACUAAUUCAUUCAUUCAUUCAUUCAUUCAUUCAUUCAUUUGUGUUGACCAUCUGGAUUACGCUAAUCUCCAGGGCAACAGCUGACCUGACCUGCGACGCUCUGCUCCUGCUCUCCACAAAUCUUACAGCUCGCACUUUGAUUUUGUGGAAUCAGACGUCUAGUCCCACCAAUUCUACAGGUUUGUUCUGUAACACUUCGAUUGAUGGCAUUGGGACAUGUUGGCCCAGGAGCAGUGCUGGAGAAGUGGUGUCCCGUCCCUGUCCAGAGACCUUCCUCGGAGUCCGUUACAACACAACCAAUAACGUGUACAGAGAAUGCGUUGUCAAUGGCACCGGGGCGAAGAAGGGAAACUACUCCCAAUGUCAGGAAAUCCUCAACGAGGAGAAGAAGAGCAAGCUGCAUUACCACAUUGCAGUCAUCAUAAACUACCUGGGACAUUGUAUCUCUCUGGGAGCCCUGCUGGUCGCCUUCAUCCUCUUCAUGAGACUCAGGAGUAUCCGGUGUCUGAGAAAUAUCAUCCACUGGAACCUGAUUACAGCAUUUAUCCUGCGAAAUGCCACCUGGUUCGUGGUGCAGCUCACUAUGAACCCAGAGGUGCAUGAGAGCAAUGUGAUCUGGUGCAGGCUGGUCACAGCAGCGUAUAAUUAUUUCCAUGUGACCAACUUCUUCUGGAUGUUUGGAGAGGGCUGCUAUCUGCACACAGCUAUAGUACUGACAUACUCCACCGACAAACUGAGGAAAUGGAUGUUCAUUUGUAUAGGCUGGUGUAUUCCAUUCCCCAUUAUCGUCGCUUGGGCCAUUGGCAAGCUGUACUAUGACAAUGAAAAGUGCUGGUUUGGGAAGCGGGCCGGCAUUUACACUGAUUAUAUUUAUCAGGGGCCCAUGAUCCUGGUCCUGCUGAUUAACUUCAUUUUUCUCUUCAACAUUGUGAGGAUCCUGAUGACUAAACUGAGGGGCUUUUUUGUGUCAGUGUUCUACUGCUUUUUGAACAGUGAGGUACGCUCAGCCGUUCGUAAGCGGUGGCACCGCUGGCAGGAUAAGCACUCCAUUCGGGCACGGGUGGCACGGGCCAUGUCUAUACCCACCUCUCCAACACGGGUCAGUUUCCACAGCAUCAAGCAGUCGUCGGCAGUCUGA
ensembl:lncRNA